rnacentral:piRNA from 1 species
UAUGGGUGAAAAUUUGAAUGAGUCAUACAGC